rnacentral:lncRNA from 1 species
GACACAGGCACCGGCUUAGAGACCUCAGUCCCCCGGAGGAGGCUGGUCUGUGGGCAUCUUAGGACAUCCGUGAGAAGGCUCCAGAUGGAAAAUGCUGGAGGGCCCAGGUUUUCAGGAAGGCACCUCCUCACCUUUCAGUCCGGGAGAACGUGUUCCAGCAAAGCCAGGGAGAGAGGCUCGCCGGCCCAGGCCUCUCCAGCUUCUCUUAAAGGCGAAAAGAGAAGCUGAGGACCCCGCACGCUCCCCAGCGCAUGGAGCUGAAGCCACGACCCCAAGGAUCCCAUCCAAGAAACCCUAUUAUGUUCAGUCAUCAGGUCUCCUUGGGCUCCUCUCGGCUGUGAUGGUUUCUCAGACUUGCCUUGUUUUUGAUGACCUGGGCAGUUCUGAGGCGUGCUGGUCAGGUGUUUUGCAGAAUGUUCUUCAGCUGGCAUUUGUUUGCUGAUUUUCCUCAUGAUGAAACGAGGGUCACGGGUUUGGGGGAAGAAAACCACAGGGAUAAGGGGCCAUUCUCGUCACAUAUCAAGGGCACAUACUGUCACCAUGACUUCUCGUUGCUGACGCUGACACUGACCCCCUGGCUGAGGCCGUGUUGGUCACUGUCCAGUUCCUCCUUUGGCCCUUUCCACGCUGUCCUCUUUGGAAGGAAGCACAUACCUCUCUGCACAGCACACACGGAAGGGCUGGGGAGUGAGGCUCCGCUCCCUGGAGGCUGAGUGUCCACCUGAUUCGGGAUUCGUCUGCACAGUUCGUCUGUCCUCCCUCGUUUGUGUCCCUCUCCAGUCACCGCUUUCCAGCGCUAUGGACUCAGGGAUACUUCCUUGAGGCGCUGGGUUAUCAUCCACUACUACUUCAUUCUGUUGCUCAGGCCUUUCCAGAUGUGGCCACUGGAGGCGCUUUCCAUUGGCUCCUGCGUCCCUCUGAUCUAUCUCAUCGCUGUGCUUUUGUGGAGCGCAUCCUUCUGAUACGAAGACGCGCCAGACUCCAGCUGUAUAUUCCCUGUCCUCGUCCUGCAAUCAGUCAUUUCUCCCAGGAGCCCUGGUUUCUCUCAUGACACCACGGUGUUAAAAA